AUACCUUUCUCGGCCUUUUGGCUAAGAUCAAGUGUAGUAUCUGUUCUUAUCAGUUUAAUAUCUGAUACGUGGGUCAAUGGUCCACUAGAUAUUAAAGUUAUUUUUUAUGGGGGAGGGUCCGCUACAGUAGCUUGCUAUUGGGGUUCUCUUGCGUUGUCUGUGCGUUGCACUACAGCACUGGCCUGGCGCACCCCUC